GCCCAGACACUCAACACAGAGGAAGCAAAUUAAGAUGAAUCAUAUGUAGUGUGUCAAUAACAUUUUUCUUGUAAAAUUAGAACAUCUGAUCGAGGCGGGAAUUGCCAAACUCUGUCCUGUGAGCCAAAUCCAGCGCACCAUCCUGAGAAAUUCGCACCAAAGGAAUCUUUGCCAAGACCCAGGAGACUGGAACU
rnacentral:lncRNA from 1 species